UACGAAGGGGGCUAGCGUUGCUCGGAAUCACUGGGCGUAAAGCGCACGUAGGCGGAUUGUUAAGUCAGGGGUGAAAUCCUGGAGCUCAACUCCAGAACUGCCUUUGAUACUGGCGAUCUUGGAUCCGGGAGAGGUGAGUGGAACUGCGAGUGUAGAGGUGAAAUUCGUAGAUAUUCGCAAGAACACCAGUGGCGAAGGCGGCUCACUGGCCCGGUACUGACGCUGAGGAGCGAAAGCGUGGGGAGC
rnacentral:rRNA from 1 species